rnacentral:rRNA from 1 species
GUCUACGGCAUGCCACCCUGAACAAGCCAGAUCCCGUCUGAUCUCGGAAGCUAAGCAGGAUCAGACCUGGUUAGUACUUGGAUGGGAGACCACUUAGGAAGGCCAGGUGCUAUAGGUG